UGUGUCGCAUCCGCAGAGUGCGUGCGGGGAGCGGUCGCCAUAGCUACAGCGCCUGGUGUGCAUCCCACUAGUGUGGGAUCUGCUCGGGUGGAGGAUCAAGCAGGGAGCAGGGGAGUGUGGUGGCAUGGAAGGAGAGCACUGUGGGUGUUUGUGUCUGAGCUGAGGAGUGGAGUGGAGUCCGCUCCUCAACACAGGAGGCAAAAGGAGGAGGAGGAGCAAGCAGAUUCCCAAAGGAAAGAGAGCGUUGCUGUCAUCCUUUACCUUUGUAAGGAAGGGACAUUUUUAUGAGAGGCUCUGUCUUUUAUGGAGGAUGGAUCCCAUUUUGGAUCAGUUUUUAAUUAGUUUUCCUUAAGGACAAAGAGACAGAACAAGUGGAUAAUCAGGCCGUAAUAAACCAAAGGCGGAAGUGGAAAUCCAACCCUGCUAAGUAUCAGAGCGGCUGCAGUCCGCAUCGAUUGGGCAAGUCAUUCUGGAGAGGCGCUUGUCAUCCUUAUGUCUUUUCUUCUGAAUCGCGCCAGAAGAGGGACCAACAUAAAACAGAACAGCAUAGGUCUAUCUUCAAUAAAGAUGGAUAAACAAACGCAGGUGGUGGAAUGGACCUUAUCUCGGAGGUUUCGCUCUGCAGUCUGAACCUGCUCUCAAACCAGCUGAUAAACGGGACCGACCGCCGCUCCGCAGAAGCUCGGCAGGAGAUCCUGUCAAACCAAGUGAACGGGAAGCACAGAGACAUGUAGGACCUAAAGCAGCCAGCUUUUGCACAUACUCAGCUUUCAAUUUAGACUUAUAAACUAUAAUUUCAUGUUUGCUCCCUGUUGCAAACACAUCACUGUACCAAUAAAUAAAAAAAUAAAAAAGAC